UGGAUUAAAGGCUGGGAUGAUUGCUGCAAAUAGUUUUCUGGGAAAAGGUUGUAAUAUUCUGAGCAAUCCAAAGCUUAUGGUACCCUCUAUGAUGGAAACCGGAGCACGUCUUUCGUUACUAGAUUCCUCAGUCAUUUUAUAUCAACCGGCUCGGUGACUUUAUUGGAGGAAGGUGGCACUAUGUUUACCUUUGAAGGAACUAGUAAAAAGUGUUCUCU